ACGGGAGGCAGCAGUGGGGAAUAUUGGGCAAUGGGGGAGACCCUGACCCAGCAACGCCGCGUGAAGGAAGAAGGCUUUCGGGUUGUAAACUUCUUUUACCGGGGACGAUAAUGACGGUACCCGGAGAAAAAGCCACGGCUAACUACGUGCCAGCAGCCGCGGUAAUACGUAGGUGGCAAGCGUUGUCCGGAUUUACUGGGUGUAAAGGGCGUGUAGGCGGAGGUUCAAGUCAGAAGUGAAAUCUCCGGGCUUAACCCGGAAACUGCUUUUGAAACUGAAUCCCUUGAGUAUCGGAGAGGCAGGCGGAAUUCCUAGUGUAGCGGUGAAAUGCGUAAAUAUUAGGAGGAACACCAGUGGCGAAGGCGGCCUGCUGGACGACAACUGACGCUGAGGCGCGAAAGCGUGGGGAGCAAACGGGAUUAGAUACCCUGGUA
rnacentral:rRNA from 1 species